AAAUUGAAGAGUUUGAUCAUGGCUCAGAUUGAACGCUGGCGGCAGGCCUAACACAUGCAAGUCGAGCGGUAGCACAGAGAGCUUGCUCUCGGGUGACGAGCGGCGGACGGGUGAGUAAUGUCUGGGAAACUGCCUGAUGGAGGGGGAUAACUACUGGAAACGGUAGCUAAUACCGCAUAAUGUCGCAAGACCAAAGUGGGGGACCUUCGGGCCUCAUGCCAUCAGAUGUGCCCAGAUGGGAUUAGCUAGUAGGUGGGGUAACGGCUCACCUAGGCGACGAUCCCUAGCUGGUCUGAGAGGAUGACCAGCCACACUGGAACUGAGACACGGUCCAGACUCCUACGGGAGGCAGCAGUGGGGAAUAUUGCACAAUGGGCGCAAGCCUGAUGCAGCCAUGCCGCGUGUGUGAAGAAGGCCUUCGGGUUGUAAAGCACUUUCAGCGGGGAGGAAGGCGAUAAGGUUAAUAACCUUGUCGAUUGACGUUACCCGCAGAAGAAGCACCGGCUAACUCCGUGCCAGCAGCCGCGGUAAUACGGAGGGUGCAAGCGUUAAUCGGAAUUACUGGGCGUAAAGCGCACGCAGGCGGUCUGUCAAGUCGGAUGUGAAAUCCCCGGGCUCAACCUGGGAACUGCAUUCGAAACUGGCAGGCUAGAGUCUUGUAGAGGGGGGUAGAAUUCCAGGUGUAGCGGUGAAAUGCGUAGAGAUCUGGAGGAAUACCGGUGGCGAAGGCGGCUCCCUGGACAAAGACUGACGCUCAGGUGCGAAAGCGUGGGGAGCAAACAGGAUUAGAUACCCUGGUAGUCCACGCCGUAAACGAUGUCGAUUUGGAGGUUGUGCCCUUGAGGCGUGGCUUCCGGAGCUAACGCGUUAAAUCGACCGCCUGGGGAGUACGGCCGCAAGGUUAAAACUCAAAUGAAUUGACGGGGGCCCGCACAAGCGGUGGAGCAUGUGGUUUAAUUCGAUGCAACGCGAAGAACCUUACCUGGUCUUGACAUCCACAGAACUUUCCAGAGAUGGAUUGGUGCCUUCGGGAACUGUGAGACAGGUGCUGCAUGGCUGUCGUCAGCUCGUGUUGUGAAAUGUUGGGUUAAGUCCCGCAACGAGCGCAACCCUUAUCCUUUGUUGCCAGCGGUUCGGCCGGGAACUCAAAGGAGACUGCCAGUGAUAAACUGGAGGAAGGUGGGGAUGACGUCAAGUCAUCAUGGCCCUUACGACCAGGGCUACACACGUGCUACAAUGGCAUAUACAAAGAGAAGCGACCUCGCGAGAGCAAGCGGACCUCAUAAAGUAUGUCGUAGUCCGGAUUGGAGUCUGCAACUCGACUCCAUGAAGUCGGAAUCGCUAGUAAUCGUAGAUCAGAAUGCUACGGUGAAUACGUUCCCGGGCCUUGUACACACCGCCCGUCACACCAUGGGAGUGGGUUGCAAAAGAAGUAGGUAGCUUAACCUUCGGGAGGGCGCUUACCACUUUGUGAUUCAUGACUGGGGUGAAGUCGUAACAAGGUAACCGUAGGGGAACCUGCGGUUGGAUCACCUCCUUA
rnacentral:rRNA from 1 species